GUUGCGGCGCCGUGCAGGGAGCAGCCUCCCCAGAGAAAUUGAGUGUAGCCCGGGAAUUGCGGCGGCGCCGGCAGGGGUACGCCUGGAUCCGGGGAAGCCCUCAGACUUGGGCUUGUAGCUUGGGAAGAAACCUUAAGAUCACCUGGCCCGAGAACCUCCUGCUACAGAGAAGGAAAAGAAGGCUCCGAGGGAAAUCUAGCGGCCAAAUAGGGGCUGGAACUGGGCUCGCUGUCCCACCACCGGGCUCCUUUCCCUUCACCAAGUUUUCAACCUGGAAGAGAGCUCUGGUUCUGCCUUUCCUCUGAAAAUAGCCCUCUUCCUUUUAGUGGAGAAUGAUAUUUAGAAACCAAGAUAUGCAGUAGCUUGACUAUCAUUUGGCUACCAACAUGGAUAACUUGUUUGAAGAAGAUGAGGAGUGUGAACCUCAAAAUAAUCAAGAUUUAUGUCCUCCUAUAGCACAACUGAAGAGGGAGACACCAUUUUGCCUCCAUGAUUUGACAAGCAUGAAGAUAAAAGCUUCACUGUGAGGAUGAUGGAGCAAAAUCAUAGAAGGGGGCCUAGAUUCCCUUCCUUCAGACUUAUUGUUAUGUGAGAAAAAUAAAAUUCUGUUAUAAGGUUAAACAACAAAGAUAGGUUUCUACUUCAUGUACCUAAAUAUAUCACAAUUCACACAAUAUACAUAAAAGUGGUAAAAGUAUUCAUUAUAUGAUAAAUUCAUGAUACCCAACACAAUCAAAUAGCAGAAAAAUUAUAGUUCUUUAAUUCAUUAUGAUUUUGAGUUGAUCUUUCACAGUCCUUUAGUUAUCAAACCAUUAAAUACAUUUGCACAUUCAAAUUUUGUGAAUAAUGUAGAUGAAUCCUAUUAAUUUCCAGUGUGUAUAUGAUUGUGUGUGUGUACAGACAUCUGUGUGUACAUAUACUUCAGGAGCCUAAAGGAAUGAUUGUUUCUUUCCUAGGACACUCAGUGGUAGUUACCUCAACUCUUCCUUAAAUUUCUCCAUCCAAGUUCCAUUUCCCAAGGGAAUAGAUCUUACUAUAUCCCAAUAAAAGUGAUUUAGUUAUUAUUUAUUUUGGCCAUCAUUGGAGGUUUGCAGCGUGAGUGUGUGUAUGUGUGAAUUCUGAGCCAUUUACUUUAUCUGUAUACCCACUUCAGAGUUUUUAUCAUAAAUGGAUGUUGAAUUUUGUCAAAUGCUUUUUCUGUAUCUACUAGGU